GAUGAAGAACGCAGCGAAAUGCGAUAAGUAAUGUGAAUUGCAGAAUUCAGUGAACCAUCGAAUCUUUGAACGCACAUUGCGCCCGGCAGUAAUCUGCCGGGCAUGCCUGUCCGAGCGUCAUUCCUGCCCUCGAGCGAGUCCAGCAUCUAGGUGCUGGGCCCGCCCGGCGUUGGGGCACUACGGGAAGCCCUGUGCUGUCCCCCGUAGGCCCCGAAAUGAAGUGGCGGUCCUGCCGCGGCGCCCCCUGCGUAGUAUAACAGCUCGCUUCGGGACCCGGUGGAGGCCUGCCGUCAAACCUUACUCUCUAAGUUUGACCUCGGAUCAGGUAGGGUUACCCGCUGAACUUAAGCAUAUCAAUAAGCGGAGGA
rnacentral:misc_RNA from 1 species